AUAAGUGCGUGGGCCAUUGUUGACCAAAAUGUCAUUGUGUAUGUGACAGUGUUACCGGAAUGCUGAUCCUGGUCUAGACCCCAAGAGAGGGUUCUUGGACCUCACACAAGAAUGAAUUCAGGAGGCCCAAGAGGAACCUCUGCGUUUACCAGAAAUUGGGAACAUUUACAAAUAAGACACGAAUUAUUUACUUAACGUCACCUCUUAGUCAUUUGGAAUCUACCACAAUUUCGUUGAUGGUCUCUGCUCAAGACGGUGGUGGGCUCACAGCUGUCAUUAAUGCCGACAUCACCAUACACAUUUUCCAGACAACUCUGGCACCUGCUGAGUUUGAAAGGCCUAAGUACACUUUCUUAGUUUAUGAAGAUGUGCCUGAAGAUAGUCCCAUUGGAACAGUGAAAGCAAGAGAGCCCUUGAACUCCUCAGAACCAAUCUUUUACAGGAUUUCUUCUGGUGAUCUCGGCGGAAUGUUCUCCAUUCACCCGUGGCUGGGCACUAUUCGCACCCGGAAGCCCCUGGAUCACGAGACGCAGCCCGUGGUUGUGCUCACGGUGCAGGCGCAGCUCAGCAGCGCCCCAGCUUGCAGCAGCACGGAGGUCAACAUAACAGUCGUGGAUGUCAAUGACAACCACCCAGCGUUCCUCAGGACCUCGGAUGAGAUUAGAAUAUCCCAGACCACGGCCCCUGGCACAGCCUUGUACCUCGCACGUGCGGAAGACAGAGACAGUGGGCGGAACGGACUCAUCCAGUACUCCAUCGCCAGCCCGCAGCCGGGCGUCUUUGCCAUCGACAGAGCCCUGGGGGUGCUGUUCCUCAACGGCAGCCUGGGCGCGAGCAAGCACCGGGAGCUCGCGCU
rnacentral:sRNA from 1 species